GUGGGGAAUCUUAGACAAUGGGCGCAAGCCUGAUCUAGCCAUGCCGCGUGAGUGAUGAAGGCCCUAGGGUUGUAAAGCUCUUUCAGCUGGGAAGAUAAUGACGGUACCAGCAGAAGAAGCCCCGGCUAACUCCGUGCCAGCAGCCGCGGUAAUACGGAGGGGGCUAGCGUUGUUCGGAAUUACUGGGCGUAAAGUGCGCGUAGGCGGACUGAAAAGUUGGGGGUGAAAUCCCGGGGCUCAACCUCGGAACUGCCUUCAAAACUAUCAGUCUGGAGUUCGAGAGAGGUGAGUGGAAUUCCGAGUGUAGAGGUGAAAUUCGUAGAUAUUCGGAGGAACACCAGUGGCGAAGGCGGCUCACUGGCUCGAUACUGACGCUGAGGUGCGAAAGCGUGGGGAGCAAACAGGAUUAGAUACCCGUGUAGUCC
rnacentral:rRNA from 1 species